GAACGGUCGGCGGGCGAUCCGCGUCGGUCGUGCGAGGGUGGUAUGGUUCCCCCANAGGCCGGUUCUUGUGCUGCCUACCCCUUCAGGGGAAUCGGGCCACUUGAUGUAAGCCUCCAUCCGGCGCCUUCCAACGGGCGCAGGAGGACAACAGGGCACCCCCCGCGUUCCACCGAUCCUCCUUGGUCGCGUGGCCCGCGGGGACGUGCGACGCUCUCGGACCCAGCGAACGCCGUGGGCGAGGACUCACGUCCCAGUCCCGAAAAGAAGCUCCGAUAUAAUGCAAGACGGCCGCUCCCGCCCCCCCGGGGGCGAGGCGCGGCGUCGCAGAGGAAUG
rnacentral:misc_RNA from 1 species